GAUAACGGCCAUAACUGGAAACGUUUUGCUGAAAGGAAGCCUCGAUAUGUCCCAUUUUGCGAAACAGGGACAGACAGCUUGUUUAUACGGCAUGGUGGCUCAGUGGUUAGCACUGCUGCCUCACAGCGACAGAGACCCGGGUUCGGCUCCACCAUCCGGCGACUGUCUGUGCGGAGUUUGCACGUUCUCCCUGCGUCUGCAUGGGUUUCCUCCACAGUCCAAAGAUGUGCAGUGUUACCUCCAUACCUGAGGAAAUUUGAUCCGGGAGCUGAAACUCGGCAUGAUGCAGAAACAGAGAGAAUCAAAUCAUUCUGCUAUGAGGAAUCCUCAGACAAGAGCUGGAACCAUAGAGAGAGACUAAGAGAAUUAUAAUAAACCAUCCUGUGUCCUUGUUGUUCA